rnacentral:lncRNA from 1 species
GCGGGGUCAUUAAUUGUGGUCUUGGGCCUGUUAAUUUUCUAGCGUAUGUUUCUUCUUAUUUGUUUUUGUUUUUCGCUUUCACAAAUGGAAUGAACUUGUAGCAAUGGUACAUAUAAUUGUGUAAACGCUUCUGUGAACGUGGUUCGUAACUUCCCUAACAUGUCUAUGAACUGGUCAAUAAUAUUGGUGUUUUUGACACGUGAUGUUCCUUUGGCCAUUUUGUAAUUACCAUGGUGAUACGGUCUGAUUAGUCAGAGGCUAAACGUCAGGUUCGGGUAAAUCUGUUAACGGUAUUUCUGUUAUUUCAUUGGUUAUAAAUACUAUCUAAUGGCUGCUUCGUGGCUGUUUCCGGAAUGAUUAUGGGGGAAAUGAAGGUCAUUUUAACGUCUGAUUGGCUAUUAAUGAGUGGCAUGCAUUAUAUGUUCAACGCGUCCGUAAGUGGGGUCGGAUUGAAAUCAUGAUACUAGGUUAUAGGUACAUAUUAUGAUAAAGUGUUCAUUUGCUAUAGUGAUUAGUUAUGAUGAUAACUCACCACAAACUGUCAAUUUGGUACAGAUUAUAUAAUCAUGUGACAAUGUGAUGAUUUAAUCUUGAAAUUAUGUUGCUAUUUUGGUAAGAAACUGUACAUUUAUGUAUUAUUGCU